GGAUGAGGCCUCAUGUGGUGGAAGCUGCCCUUAGCUUCGCGGAGCUGACAGCUCUGGCCCAGGGCGGUAUGUAAGUCUGGCUGGGCCCGGGACAGGGUCCAGCCAGGCCCAGCCUGGUGAAACCCAGGUCUGGGUGUGAGGGUGGUCUAGGGAGUGAGUGAGGAGGUAAGGUGCCGGUCCAAGCGGUUACUAUUAUGUCUGGCAGGCGGGAGCUGUAGGCAGACAAAAUUGACCCUCACUUUAUUUUCCAGGUGGCAGUGCUCCCCUUUGGACUUUUCCUCUAGGUUCUGCGCUAACCUGUUCUGCGAGCUCACUCUGCCCACCCCCCACUCCCCCUCCUCCCCUUCACUCUCUCGAGGUUACCCAUUCACUUAAAACAUUGCUUUUGUCAGAGGAAUUCUUAGUGUGAUAUGUAAUGUGUGUGUUGGGGAAGCGUUCCAGACUGAAAUGCAUUAGGCAAAUACUUAAAUGAAGCCAACUGACUUAAAUGAAGCCAACUGGCGAAGUGGGGGUGGGGGUGGGGUGUCAUUGUGCUGUGCUAGGUGGGAGGGCGCGAUAUGGUCAUGUCCAGAUGGUGAUAAAAAUGGCAGGUUUCGUUU
rnacentral:lncRNA from 1 species